rnacentral:rRNA from 1 species
CCUACGGGAGACAGCAGUGAGGAAUAUUGGUCAAUGGCCGUAAGGCUGAACCAGCCAAGUCGCGUGAAGGAAGAAGGAUCUAUGGUUUGUAAACUUCUUUUAUAGGGGAAUAAAGGUAUCCACGUGUGGAUAUUUGCAUGUACCCUAUGAAUAAGCAUCGGCUAACUCCGUGCCAGCAGCCGCGGUAAUACGGAGGAUGCGAGCGUUAUCCGGAUUUAUUGGGUUUAAAGGGUGCGUAGGUUGUUUUUUAAGUCAGCGGUGAAAGUUUGUGGCUCAACCAUAAAAUUGCCGUUGAAACUGGAAGACUUGAGUGUGUUUGAGGUAGGCGGAAUGCGUGGUGUAGCGGUGAAAUGCAUAGAUAUCACGCAGAACUCCGAUUGCGAAGGCAGCUUACUAAGCCAUAACUGACACUGAAGCACGAAAGCGUGGGGAGCAAACAGGAUUAGAUACCCCAGUAGUC